rnacentral:rRNA from 1 species
UGGGGAAUAUUGGGCAAUGGGCGAAAGCCUGACCCAGCAACGCCGCGUGAAGGAAGAAGGUCUUCGGAUUGUAAACUUCUUUUAUGAGGGACGAAGGACGUGACGGUACCUCGUGAAUAAGCCACGGCUAACUACGUGCCAGCAGCCGCGGUAAUACGUAGGUGGCAAGCGUUGUCCGGAUUUACUGGGUGUAAAGGGCGUGUAGGCGGGUAAGUAAGUCAGAUGUGAAAUACCGGAGCUCAACUCCGGGGCUGCAUUUGAAACUGCAUAUCUUGAGUAUCGGAGAGGAAGGCGGAAUUCCUAGUGUAGCGGUGAAAUGCGUAGAUAUUAGGAGGAACACCAGUGGCGAAGGCGGCUUUCUGGACGACAACUGACGCUGAGGCGCGAAAGCGUGGGUAGCAAACAGGAUUAGAUACCCUGGUAGU